CUACGGGAGGCAGCAGUGAGGGAUCUUCGGCAAUGGGGGCAACCCUGACCGAGCAACGCCGCGUGCGGGAGGACGCCUUUCGGGGUGUAAACCGCUUUUCUGGGGGACGAGGCUAGUACGGACGGUACCCCAGGAAGAAGUCUCGGCUAACUACGUGCCAGCAGCCGCGGUAAUACGUAGGAGACGAGCGUUGUCCGGAGUUACUGGGCGUAAAGGGUGCGCAGGUGGCGGCGCGCGUGGGGGGUGAAAUCGCCCGGCUUAACUGGGCGGGGGCCUUCCAGACGGCGUGGCUUGAGCAGCGGAGGGGGACGUGGAAUUCCGGGUGGAGCGGUGAAAUGCGUAGAGAUCCGGAGGAACACCGACGGCGCAGGCAGCGUCCUGGCCGCUUGCUGACACUGAGGCACGAAAGCUGGGGGAGCAAACAGGAUUAGAUACCCCGGUAGU
rnacentral:rRNA from 1 species